UAUGACGGGGAUAAGAAUUGAUAUGCUUGAGAAGUAAGACAGAACAAGAUCAAAAUUUUGAAGGUUUUUGCAAUAAGUCAAGCUCUAUCUGAGGUUGCAUCUCUUUCAAUACCUCGAUGGAUUUACUCAAGUUAGAUUCAUAAGCACACUUUUAUCAAGAAAUGCUUUCUUUUAAUUUAUAUCUUUAAUAAAAAAGAAUUUAUAAUUCUUUUAUUAUUUGAAAUCAUUUUUAGAAGAG
rnacentral:lncRNA from 1 species